AUGCAAGUCGAACGGAGUUAUUUUGGAAAGCCCUUCGGGACUGGAAUCUAUAACUUAGUGGCGGACGGGUGAGUAACGCGUGAGCAAUCUGCCUUUAGGAGGGGGAUAACAGUCGGAAACGGCUGCUAAUACCGCAUAAUGCAUCAAUUUCGCAUGUUAUUGAUGCCAAAGGAGCAAUCCGCCUUUAGAUGAGCUCGCGUCUGAUUAGCUAGUUGGCGGGGUAACGGCCCACCAAGGCGACGAUCAGUAGCCGGACUGAGAGGUUGAACGGCCACAUUGGGACUGAGACACGGCCCAGACUCCUACGGGAGGCAGCAGUGGGGAAUAUUGCGCAAUGGGGGCAACCCUGACGCAGCAACGCCGCGUGAUUGAAGAAGGCCUUCGGGUUGUAAAGAUCUUUAAUCAGGGACGAAAUUUGACGGUACCUGAAGAAUAAGCUCCGGCUAACUACGUGCCAGCAGCCGCGGUAAUACGUAGGGAGCAAGCGUUAUCCGGAUUUACUGGGUGUAAAGGGCGCGCAGGCGGGCCGGUAAGUUGGAAGUGAAAUCCCGGGGCUUAACCCCGGAACUGCUUUCAAAACUGCUGGUCUUGAGUGAUGGAGAGGCAGGCGGAAUUCCGUGUGUAGCGGUGAAAUGCGUAAAUAUAC
rnacentral:rRNA from 1 species